ACCGCGGGUGGACACGCUCGGCCCCAGGCCACCAGGGAACGUUCGUGUCUGGAUAACGCGGCCCAGAUCCCUUUGAUGGGAGCAGCUCUGGCCAAGCCUGCAGGGCUGGCCCUGCCUGGUUAGGGUUGGACCUAAAGAAAUGCACUGGCCUAACCCAGUGGCCUCCGCUGACCGCGGUGGGAUGGGGUUAGGGCUGGAGGCUCCUCCACCUCCCACCCCUCAAAGAGGAUGUCUGUCCAAAGGUCAAAGAAUUUGAGAGGCUGAGUAAGUUGAGGGUGGGUGGCUGCCCAGUGAAGGCGGGGGGAGUAGUAGGAAGAAGGACGGAGGCGUAAAAAGAAGGAAGAAGAAUUUUAAGAACAUGCCAAGGACAUAACUGCAGUCCUUGGAAAGAUGCCAGAAAAGUUGGAGACGAAACUGAGCCGAACUAGGAAUAUCUGCCUCAAAAGAUCUGGCGUAACUCCUCAAAACAUCUGGCAUCCCUUGGUAGCGUUUAUCACUCCACUGGAAAGCUAACCUUCUCCAGCCGUCCUUGACCACGUAAUGGAGCAGAGAGCGGGGGACUCUGUCAGAAAAUCUGGUUCCGUCUCUGGCUCUGCCGUGUCUGAGCUCUGCCACCUUGGGCCACCUGCUGAUCUGUCUGUGCCUUGGUUUCUUCUCCUGUAAAAUAGAGAUCCUUAUACCUACCUCUUAGGGCUCUUGUGAGGACCAGAGGAGGUUUAGGUUCCGUCCAGGGUCAAGAAGGUCAAACUGAGAGAGCGUUGAGGUCUUUUUUCAGAAGCCACUGGAGCAAAGACCAACAUCUCUAGGAGAGGCUGCCGCACAGGCUGAGAAGGUCGUCAACAUGGGCAUUCUGCCCUGUGCCAGCAAGGAGGCAAAUCGGGACAGCAAGUUGGCAGGCCAUCUAUCAGGAGCCUCAGAAGCAUUCAUAUCCUUUAAUCCAGUGAUUCACAACUAGGAAUCCAGCUGUAGGAAGUCAGCAAAAAUGUUGAUAAAACCUUAUGCACAGAGGUAUUCAUCUCAAUGUUGUUUAUAAUAAUUAUUAGAAACAACUUCAGUGUCCAGCAGUUAGGGAUGGUUGUUAAAAUAAGCCACAUCUACGUGAGGGGGGUGUUAUAUAGCCUUUAGAAAUGAUAUUUCCAGAAAAAAAUUUGUAACAUGGGAAAAAAUGAAAU